UCUCUCUUGCAGUUCAGAACACCCUUCCGGCAACAAGUCCAGCCACGCCACCCAGUAAGAACUGCGGAGCAGGCUGGGAGGACGACCCCAACAGUGACAGCUGCUACCAGAUCAACACAGAGCUUCUCUCCUGGCUGGAUGCCAGACACGCAUGUCAGUCGGCCGGAGGGGACCUGGCCACUAUCUCGAACGUACAGGAGCAGUUUUAUCUCUCAGGACGCUCACUGAGCCUAGACGCUGACUUUCUGUGGAUCGGAGCCAACGA